AGAAAAUGUUAAAUGACUAAUUAUAAAUUUUUGACUUUGCAGUUUAAAUAAUAUUUUAUUUUCUCUCGGGAAAAUGUUUCCCUUUGAAUAGAUUAAAGAGGAAUAAAUGGGUGUUAAUGUCCAUUUGAGAUUGACUAUACAAGUCAUUUCUGCCUUACAAUUUUACUAUGAUCUUUCAUAAAGUUUAUGGUUUUCAUUUAGAUUUCUUUGCUUUAACGGCAAGUGAAAGAGUUAUUUUAUUUAUUUUUUAUCUAUCCUAUUGAGUGGGUGCAGUAAUUACUCGAGCAAGUUAGACAUCAUAAAGUAAACGUUGAUGGCAAUGUUUGCACUGUGAUGGUGACAAUUCUGGUUCUUGAGGUAAUCUUCUCAUAAAAUUUUAGUAAUUGUAAUAGAUAUGUGAAUCACAAUAUUCAUGUAAUAAAAUUUUUUAUUCGGUCACGAGAUUAGUUCUAGAAUGCAGCUAAAGAAUCACUACGUAGCAUUUUCAUAUCACUAUUACUGGAGAGAAGAAUAGUAGGAGUUUUGUUAUAUUUUCAUUUUCAUGCUGUUGACUUUUUUAAGCUAAUAAAAUGGCUCGUUUAUGGAAACUGGGGCAUGAUCAAUGCUAAGGAAUUUAUUCACAUAGAAAAUAUGGUAAGCUUCUGUGCACAUUAUUUAUGUCUUACAUGUUUGUUGUUAAGAUUCUGAUUCAUUAUAUAAGUUAUUUUUUAUUUGUAGCCAUAUGAUAAUCAACAACACAUAGGCUUUUUCAUUCUAGAAAAUGAGUGGGUUUCCAUCUACGAACAAGCUAAAACUGCUGUUGAAUUGAAGUUUAUGCUUGAAAAAACUGCUCAUGCAUCUGUUUUGGCAAAUGGCAAGAAGCCGCUUGAAAUAUUGAUAGUAUCUCACCCUCCAUGCAGGAAGAUAGUCUGAAAAAGGCUAUUGGAAUUGAACUAGAAUUUCCUAAAAAUGUAUUAUUUUGUAAGGUUUUCCUUUUAUUUUUAUGAUGUUAUAAGAUCAUUGUCAUAGUUUCUAAUAUGGUGAACUUAGGUAGAUUGAAAAUUCAUUUGAUGAGAUGAGUGAAAAAUUGGCCGAUGCAAAAGUUACAGCAAAGACUCAAUUGGCUGAGGCUCAAAGUGUGAUGAAAAAUGCUCAAAAGAAGUUCAUGGAGGCAGAGGAAAAUAUGAUGAAGAAUGUGACUAAUGGAUAGAAACUGAGUGUGUUAAUAAUUUUGCUCCUUUAAAGUUCUGUUUUGGAAUAAUGCUGCAAUAAUGUGCUAAAGGUUAUUUCUCAUAAUUUGCUUUGCUUAAGUGCAGGGAGGAAAACUACUUAAAAAGAUGGACUCUAUUGCGAAGGAUAUUGUGCAACUCGUAGCUUUGCAUCGUAUGAAGUGACUUGUCAUGAAAGCAGCAACUAAUAAAUAUUAUUCAAUAUAUAAUGCUUUUUAAAAAAAAAAAUCUUUACAAAGAACUUUAUCAUCUAGAAUAACAGCAGCUUUAUUCUUCAAGAAUGUGUAAUUUGAAUUAAUCCAACUGCAAUAAAAAUUAUUAUUAGUCAUUUCUCAUAGCUAUAGCCCAUAUAAUCAAGGCAAUUCUUCAUUGGUUAUAGCAAAGCCUAAAAUGGCAUAACAAAAAAAGUUUCUCUUGCUUCAAAAAUUAACAACUCAUAUAGUAAGAGAAUGCUUUUUCACAUUCACGAAAAUGUUAAGUUUUGCGAUAUCUUGACCAUUUCUCAACUGGACUUGACCUGUGGUACGCUGUUCAUGAACUCAAAAGAAAAUUCAUUUCGGAUUAAGUGGAGAUUCCCAUUUAUGUACACAUUUAAAAUUUUUUUGUACUUAUUUUUUAUUCGAAUUACUAACUAUAAAAUAUUUGCUACAUGCAGGUCGAACCAUGGAAAGCUUAUCAUUGUGGAUUACAACAUAUGCUUUAUUGAAGGACUAGAUUUAUGCUUUGGCCGAUAUGACACAACUAAACACAAAGUAGGUGAUUUCCCUCCUUUUCUAUAGCCUGGAAAAAACUACUAUAAUCCAAGGUACAUAUUUUUUUUCAUUAAGACGUGUAAGAUCUGUAGGCAACUAUUGAAACUUGGAAUUAAUAACAAAGUUCGAUCAAUUGGAAUAUAUGAAAUAUUUUAUGUCAACAUCUCGAUAGUCAAACUUCAAUUGGUUAAUAGAUUUAAUCACAAUGCUACAUCUAUUUUCAAUUUAGUGAUUCUUGAACCAUAUGUUACAAAUUUCGAUAGUGAAUAUAAAACAUAUCAUAAAUAGAGAAAUCAUAGCAUCGUCCCAUUAAUAGACCUACUAGGUAAGUAACUAAAAGCCAAUAAUAUUAAUCAGUAUUUUUGGUCGAGGCUUGAUUUUCUUCUCAAUAGGUAGAAGAUAUGUAGAG
rnacentral:lncRNA from 1 species